GGGAUGCCUAAGGCAGGGCUAGUGACUGGGGUGAAGUCGUAACAAGGUAGCCGUACCGGAAGGUGUGGCUGGAUCACCUCCUUAAAGGGAGACCUAAUUCCGGUAGGAGACGAAAAAAAGUAGUCCCUACCAAGAAUCAAUCCCAAAAGGUCGGAACGAGGUAUGAGGCUUUCAAACUAGGUUCUGGGUUCAUAAAAGACCUGAAUCAGGAGCAAGGGCUAUUAGCUCAGGUGGUUAGAGCGCACCCCUGAUAAGGGUGAGGUCCCUGGUUCGAGUCCAGGAUGGCCCACCUGUACAGGUGGCAAAAAGAAAGAAAAGAAGCGAGGAAUCAGCGCCUUAUCUUACUUAUAUAGUAAGAGAGAAUGCUGGCUCUGAGUUCAGAGUCCAGAGGAACCUUGAAAACUGCAUAGAGCUAGGUGAAAAAGCCAAAAAAGAAGAUCGCAAGGUCAAGCUAAUAAGGGCUAACGGUGGAUACCUAGGCAACACAGAGGA
rnacentral:misc_RNA from 1 species